CCUCCUUUCUUGGCAUGCAUGUAGUUGUUCAGUACUCAUGUGUGUAAUGUAUGGAGGUAAAGAGAAGCCAGUGCUAUGUCUUCGGUGCCAGCAUGUUUCAUGUCUGCUGGUUCUAUCCUCAAUCAUUGGAACAAGC
rnacentral:snoRNA from 8 species